rnacentral:rRNA from 1 species
CCAAACUCGGUCAUUUAGAGGAAGUAAAAGUCGUACCAAGGUCUCCGUUGGU